GUUUAGUCACUAUAGCCUAGUAUUGUCUGAUUCAUCCACUCGAGCUUAUUUUCCAACUUUUUUUCUGUUCUUCCGCCUCCUUGAGUUUUGCCUUUCUGUCCCACUGCCCCGUACACAUAUCAUGAAGAUGAUACAACUUGUGUUUGUAAUAUUCCUGGUCACAUGGUUCAUCAAUCCAUACCUUAAAAUUGCAUAUAGGUACGUCGGGUUGCCUAUAAAACUUGUUUAUACACGUCCAGUAGCAGCGCCCAGCUUCUUCCCAACAAUCAUACAUCAUGCUUUUGAUUCCGCGAUCGCACCUUGGGACGGCAAGGGGUCAUUGAGACAUUUCUUAAAGAGAAACUUUGGUGUUAUGGAAAUAUUUGCUAUUGGUUA
rnacentral:lncRNA from 1 species